rnacentral:lncRNA from 1 species
UUUGAUGAAGCUUUUGUUGGCACCAUAAAUUGGUUUUGCUUCACACUGUCUUGAUUAAGAGUGUGUGAAGCUUUUGAGAAUUGUGGUUGCCCUCCAUUAAUGAAGCUCUUGUUGGCACCAUAAAUUGGUUUUGCUUCACACUGUCUUGAUCAAGAGUGUGUGAAGCUUUUGAGAAUUGUGGUUGAACUCCUUUGAUGAAGCUCUUGUUGGCACCAUAAAUUGGUUUUGCUUUACACUGUUUUGAUCAAGAAUGUGUGAAGCUUUUGAGAAUUGUGGUUGCCCUCCAUUGAUGAAGCUCUUGUUGG